rnacentral:rRNA from 1 species
UACGGAGGGUGCAAGCGUUAUCCGGAUUUACUGGGUUUAAAGGGUGUGUAGGCGGGCUUUUAAGUCAGUGGUGAAAUCUCCGGGCUCAACCCGGAAACUGCCAUUGAUACUAUUAGUCUUGAAUUUUGUUGAGGUAGGCGGAAUAAGUCAUGUAGCGGUGAAAUGCAUAGAUAUGACUUAGAACACCAAUUGCGAAGGCAGCUUGCUAAACAAAUAUUGACGCUGAGGCACGAAAGCGUGGGGAGCAAACGGG